CAACCACAGCUUUAGAAAUCUAUUCACAUAAAAAAAAAUUCAGUAAUGCUCCUGGUUAAUGUCUAGCUCUCAGCCUGUGCAAGGAUCCUGUCAAAGAUUGACUAUAAACUGCUUCUCAGAGAAGGAGGAGUGCUCUGGAAACCUGCAGAUGAAAAGGCAAAUAGAAAGUCAGCAUGGCUGCGUCAACCACAGCUAAAGGAAUCUAUUCACAUAAAAAAAUUCCAGUAAUGCUCCUGGAUGAUAUCUAGCUCUCAGCUCGUACCAGGCUAUUGCUGUAGAUUGACUGCAAGCUGCUUUUGGGAGAAAAAGAAGUGCUCCGGAAACCUGCAGAUGAAAAGAGAAUGUCAGCAUAGUCAGAGGAGGAGGAAGCGCCUGCAACAGCAGCAGCAGCAGCAGCAGCAGCAGCAGCAGCAGCAGCAGCAGCAGCAGCAGCAGCAGCAGCAGGAUCGACAGGAUCAGCAGCAGGAUCAGCAGCAAGGGCAGCAGCAACAGCACGGGCAGCAGGGGCAGCAGGGGCAGCAGCUGCAGCAGCAGGAGCAGCAGCUGUGCCAGCAGCAGCAACAGUGCCAGCAGUGCCAGCAACUGCAGCAGCAGCAGCAGCAACAGCAGCAGCAGCAACGUAGGAGGAGAAAAAACAGGAGAAGCCGGAGGAGCAGGAAGAGCAAGAGGACCAGGAGGACCAGGAGGACCAGGAACACCAGGAGGAGGCGAAGAAGAAAUAAUGAGUGAUUGUGUCUACAUUUACAGAAAGAGUUUGAUGUGGUAGAAAUGUUGGUAAAUAUAAUACUCAAACCUGAAAUUCUAAUAAAAUAAUUGAAAGAUAGCAGAAAGCCUUCAAAGUCGUGCAAACACAAUAUGCACUAUAUAUAGUAAAUUAAAUUGCUAAUUCUACCUUCUUUGAUCUAUUGCUCAUUUGAAAAUUGUUUCAAUUUUUUUCUUCACUCAGCAGUAUGGCUCUUAGAGUCAGGCAAUCUGUUUUAAAACUGUUUAGAUCGUUGCUUUCUUAAGGCUUAACGUGUUGAUAUAUAUAUAUAAAUUUUCUAUUUGUAUCCUUGUAUAGAUUCCUUGGAGAAAUGUGUACUCAAGAAUUUACUCAUGUAGAGUCUCACUAUGCUGCCAUCUGAGACUUCGAGUUCAUUACUGAAACCAUGCUUCUUCCCAGCAUCACGAGAAGAACACAACAGAUACAGAUCACCACAUUUAGCUGGUGGUAUUGUAAAAGCUCUUCAUUACUGACUUUCAUUUUUGCUUGUGUAUAAUUUGAAUCAAAUUUUAUAUUUUCUCAUUUACUACAAGUUUGCUUAACUCAUAUUUAGAUGUAACCAUAUUUUAUUACAUACCAUGUUUUUUAGAUUACAAAAGAUAUUUAAGUAAUGAAAAUAUUUGUAAUUUUUUAUUGGUUAUUUUCUUUGUUUACAUUUUAAGUGUUCUCCACAUUUCUGAUUCCAUCUCCGCAAACUGCCUAUUUCAUACCCAUUCCCCCUGCUUCUAUGAGAGUGCUCCCGAGCCCACCCACCCAUUUCCCCUUCACUGCAUUUCCUUAUGAUAUGGCAUCAAGUCUCCACAAGACCAAGAGCGUUCCCUCCCACUGAUGUCAGAAAAGCCAGUCCUCUGCUACAUAAGCAGCUGGAGCUAUGGGCUCUUCUAUGUGUAUUCUUUGGUUGGUGGUUCAGUGGAGCUCUGGGAGGUCUUGGUGAUUGAUAGUUUUGUAUAUUAUACUUUUCACUAUUUAAAACAAUAUUUUAAUUAAAUAUUCAAUGAUAUUAUACCACUUCCUCAAGUUCUUCAGCUCCUUUCCUACUUUCAUGCCAUCAUUAAGCCCCUUUGCCAAAAGAAAACAAAAUAAAUUAAAACACAACAACAACAAAGCCAAAAAGCAACAAAUAAUCCACAAAACAACAACAAAAAACAAAAAAGAUAAUAAAGUCCAAUAGAAAAUAAUUCCCUCAAAAUCAGGAAAAUAAAAUCACAUUGAAAACAAACAAAAACUAAUCAAAAUACAAAAAAAACAAACUACAAAAAACAAACAAACGAACAAACAAAAAAACAAAAACAAACAAACAAAAAAACCAACUGUAUCCAUGUUAAUGCAUACUCAAAAACUCAGAAAACUCUUCAGUCAAAUUACUUGUGGUUCUACUACUGCUGAACCUGAGGGACUGUCCUGGUGGAUGUACCUAGUUUUACUUUCAGGAAAACUAGAUUAAUCUCUUUCUAAGUGGUUAUAUGUGAGAUUUCAGUUGUUAACCUUUACUCUAGGGGCU
rnacentral:lncRNA from 1 species